ensembl:lncRNA
AGCGUCUGCUCCCCAGCCAGGCCUGGCACCAGGUGCUCCAGGCACAAUCUCAGUCAGUCUUCCCAGCUGCUCCAGUGGUGGGGAUGGUUAUCAGCCCACUUUACAGAUGGGCAAAUAAGGAGAGACGCACUGCCUCCCCGAGGCCACAGGGCUAGACGGUGGCUGACCCGUCUGACCCGGGGACAGUGGGGUCCCCGCUCGGUAGCCCAUACAGCCUCCCAUUACCACCCCCACACCUGCCCCUGGAGACGCCCCCAAGACUAACAUGAAGAAUGGACUCCCUUCUCUUAGAACAUACAAGAAAGAUUGUGAUGAAGGAACCCAUGCUGAAAUGGGGCCUCUGUUAGCCCGGAUGCCUGAGUGACUAUGCAGAGUGGAGACCGCUGCCAACCUUCAUUGUGAGGAACACUACAUUCUUGUGAGCACAUCGGGCAGGAGACGCGGGGCCAGCAUCCCCCUAUAAUCACCUCCCUGAUCAGCUCAGAGGCCCAGGGGCUGGGUACUCAGCCCAGACUGGGACACGUCAAAACAAAGAGGAGCGAAGCACCCCAGGCAUCUCUCCACACAGCUAACGUGACAGUGCCUGACGCUGGAUUCACGGGGCCCUCACAGGAUCCACAGGAUGACGCUUUGUGGCCCCAAGGAGCAGCUGUCACCACAGCGUAUCAUCUUCAGUUCUGCAGGCUCCAGCUACAGGGGGGUGUACAGUGAUCAUGGCCCAGGAGGAGAGGGUGGGUCUUGUCCAAUCAGUCGAAGGCCUGAAUGGAACGAAGCCCAACCUGCCUCCUGAGUCAGAGAGAAUUCUCCUGCCUGAAGCCCUGCAGACUGCAGCACCAGCUUUCUGGCUCUGCAGCAGCUUCCAGCCCUGGACAGAAGCUGCAAAGUUGGCUCUGCAGGUUUUGGAUCUGCCCGCCUCCAUAAUCGCGUGAGCCAAUUCCAUACACACGUGUACAUAAGCUCUAUUGGUUCUUUUUCUCUAGAGAACCCUAAUCCACCAUCUCUGACCGCACGCUGCCGGCCUCCAAGUUGGGGAAAGGCUGGAAAGAGGAGGAGGGAAGCCACCGAAGAGGCCGUCGGUGCUGGCCAAGGGGUUCCCACCAGGCCCCGUGGGUCCACCCUCCCCUCCCCCAGUGGCUGCCCUGGGUUUCUGCUGGGUCUCAGAUUCCUCCUAUGGGAACCGGGAAAUAUAAAGAGGUGACGUGGGCCGAGAGCCAGGUGCCUAGAGGGCCCCCAGCAACGACUGCUGCUUCCUCUGAAGCACAGGCUUGGGCUGCUGCUGGUUUUCUGGGCAGCGGCUGUUCUGUGCUUCCCAACAGAGAGGACAGCACCUUCCAGAGGGUCCUGAGCUGGGACUGAGGUGGGCUUGCGAGCUCUGGGCCGCUCCUUGGCCUCAAGCCUGGAGCUUUCACCCCCAUGGAGGGGAACACCCUUUGCGGGGGGCGGGGUGGGAGGUCAGGGCCUCCCUUGAACCUGGCUCCUGGUCACAUCCCGCACCAUCAGAUUGGGCUAUGGAAGGCAGGAGAGGAGCUUUCCUCUUGGAGCCACCAUUUCUCAGCUGUGUUGCUUUGGGUGCAUUACUUAGCCCCUCUGAGCCUCUGUUUUCUCAUCUGUAAAAUGGGGAUAAGCACACGGGCCUUGCAGGGUCACACAUUCUCCAUGUGUGAAGAAUCUGGGCAGUGCCCAGCACCAGGAGGCCUCAGUCCCCACGGAGCCCAGCCCUGAGCCCAUGGGCCCCCAGGAAAGCGGGAGUUAAACACUCAGCUGUCAGCCAGAGAGCAGGGAAGCCCUGCCGCUGGCUCAGUGCCGGGAACGGUAAGUGCGGCGUGAUUAUGUAAAGCGCAUAAGCGAUUUCCAGCGUAAUUAAGAUGGAUGGCUCCAAUAAUCCUGCAGGGCCCCAUUCCGAGCCGCAGUACCAGGCGUUCACAGGGAGUUUUCGUGCGCUUUGCUUCAGUGAGCACUGGGGCCCAUUAAAGAAAUGCGUGGAAGACCAGGUUCUCCAGCCAACUGCCCUGGACCGAAGGCAGCAGGAGCCUCAGCACAAAGCCCCAGGGGAACUCGGCAGAGCCCCCGUGUCCCAGGGGAGCCGUGGUAACCGCACCGUGCAGGACAGAGCCCUUCUCACGCUCCCUCUCAGACGCGGUCUCCAUGACCCAUACGCCCCUCUGCUGGACUGAAUUGUCCUGCUGCCCCCCUCGUAAGAGAGGAGAGCUCACAAAAGAAGAAACUGAGGUCCCCAGGGGUCGUGUGCCCUGUUCAAGAUCACCCAGCUCACCAAAGACAAGAUCAAAGUCAGACAAAGGGACCUAAAGGUGAUGGGGUUCAGUCUUCCCCCGUGGCAGAAGUCUCUUCUGUGGCACCCGGCCAGCCUUCCGUCCUGUCACGGCUUGAGGGUGAGGGUGCUGAGGAGUCCACUGCAAUAAUAUUGACUGCUGGCAGCCAGCGUAAUUAUUAUUAUUGCUAUUAUUAUUAUAUGCAGUGCUUACUAUGUGCUAGGCUCCGUGUCUAGCUCUUCAAAUUAACUAUUUUAAAUAAUCCCCACAAGGACUCUGUGAGACAGGCAUUGUCGGUGUCCCCAGAGGGGAAACGACGUGCCCGAGGCUGGUUAGGGAUGCGCUGAGACGCUGCCUGCAUCUCUCUGACCUGGAGCCCACAGGGGAGGCAGUCAGGAGGUUGUUCCUCAUGAAGAUACGAGUGGUCUGAAAUCUACCUAUCAGAGAACCGUGCUCCCUCACAGCAGGGGGUCCCCCUCUGCCCCUGCAGAGGCUCUCCUGACUCCAACAACUCUGGGGGCCUCCCACCCGCAUGCCCACCCCAGGGCCCAGCCCAAUCUCCCCAAGAAGGCGGGCUCCCAUAUCUUCCACCCUUCCUGAGAAGGCCUUAGUUCCUCACUGGGCCUCACUCUCCCCAUGGCUGCGCCAGCAAGAGGGCUGCCCGGGAUCGGGGCAGGACACUGCCCUGCACCCCAUACAGCACCCAUCCUCUGGGCCCUCCCUCUCCUCUCAGUGGUGGGAGUGCAGGCAGCACUGGCUCCAGGUCAGAGACCUGGGUCAGUGCCUUGCUCUGCCCAUCACUAACCGGGCAACCUUGGACGGGCCAUUCGAAGCUCCCUAAGCCUCGGUUUCUCCAUCUCUAAGAUGGACACAGAAGUGCCUACCACACACGGCUACCAGGAAGACUGAGGGCCAAGAUGUCUGCAAAGCUUGAUCACUGUCCACUGCCAGCCUCCCCAGCCCCAUGCCAGUUCUGCAAGGGGCUGAGGCAGGUGGGAGUGCAUGGGGGAAGGGGCCUGCUCUGAGGGGUUUGGCUCUUUGCCCCUGCAAAGCACCCCUGGGGCUGCAGACUUCAUCAAAAUGCCAGGAUGGGGAGAAACAGCGAGGAGGGGAAGAUUAAGCUGCAGAUGGUCAGUGCCUUGGAGCCUGAGUGGAUUGAUGGGGCCUCCUUGCUGCAGGAGGAGCCUUCCAGGACGGCUGCUCAGGCCUUGAGAGAGGCCUGAAGUCCAAGCCCCAGCUCCUGGGACUCUGCAGAGCCCACAGGGACAGACUGGGAGGGACCAGCUUUCCAUGACACCCCCCAAGCCCUCCCUCAGGACCAUGACCCACAGUGCCAUGGGGAACCUAAAGAGUGUUCCUCUUGGUCCUGGCCUCGGCCUCCUUGGGCCCCGGGCACACCAAGCCUCAGGCCACCUGACCUUACCCCGUGGCACUCGGACCAGAAACUGCCAGACACAGCCAGGCGUCCUUGCUGGGCACUGGGUGCCUCCUAGGGCCUUAAACACCCUCAAAUCUCCCCGGGCGGAGUCACCUGCUUGGUCUAACACUCCUGGGCUGCGUGGGGCUGUGUGCAGAGCAGGGUUCCGGCCGGGGCUCACAUGGCCUCACCUCUGUGAGGCCCCAGUAGAUCCCUUCCGCUCUCUGAGCCCCGCUUUCCACACAUAUAAAAUUAGGGUAGCGGCACCCACUCGCCUGAGCUUGCCCAUGCGGUGGGGCUCUGUCUGCGGAGCACACACCCAGACUUCCUUUCUUUUCCCAUCUCAGCCGCCCUCCGGCCGAGCCACAAGGCCCUGCGGGAGGGACAACACGGGACGAGACAGUGACCAGAGUCACCAACUGUCCCCAAAUAGUCCCUCCUUGGGUUUCCUGAGGACACGACAAUUACCGAGGCUGGAGCUUUGGGUGGGUUUAAAACCCUUUUAAGAUUCUAUAAGUGACUCUUGAUAACAAAAAUUAACAAGCUGGAAAAAUAAAACUGUUCACCCAGAGCGUGGAUCUCGGCAUCAGAGACAUCUAGGUUUUUCUCUGCUGUCAUCACUGUGCCCGUAGGAGUGACUCAGCUGGCGCCCAUCAUGUGGGGAUGCCCGCACCGCCUCACAUGUGGGCUGGGUGGCAAUCACCCCUGCUGGUUGCCAAGCUUCUCCACCUCUCCUCAGGGCGGGUCCUCAGCAGAAGCACUGUUUCUGGCCACUCUGUGAGGUGACAUCUUUGUAAGGUGACCAUAUCUUUGAGGUUGGGAGAGGCGCUGUGACUAGAUCUGCCCAUGACACGUGAGUGGAGGUGGCACCUGCUGCUUCCAGCUGGAGCCUGUCAGGACCCACACGAGACCAGCCCAGGGUCCCCUCUCCCUUUGGCAUGGUGCCUACAAGGUCCAAGAGGGGGUGCUCCAGCUGCCCGGAUCUCUGAGUGGCUCUGAUGAGCAGAGCCCUGGUCAACCCAUAAGGCUGAGUAACACAAAGGACAAGUCUUUGGGUUUCUUAGGCCACAGACAGGAGGGGAUGUGGCCAGGGCCGGAAACCUGCCUACAUGGACUGCUCGAAUUACUGUAAGGAUUAACUGUGACCAUGUGCAGAAAGCACCUGGCUCACAGCUGGUCUUGAAAUGACAACUGUGUCCCCAUGAAGCUUCAAAUUUGGAGGACAAAGUCCCUCCUUCCCCAGCAAGGAAGUCAAAUAUCCCCAGCAGAAAGGAUGCACACUCGUGCAUACUGAGAUGUCCGUGAGGGGGAGCAGAUCUUUCCCCCAAAGCCCUGUGGCUAGGAAGGCAUGAGAACACUGAGGCUGCAGGCUCAGAGCCCGGAGCAGCAGUGGGAAGAGGCACAGGGAGCAGGCAGCACACCCCCAUCCCCACCAUGGAGACCCCCAGCGCAGAGGCACCUUCUUCACCACUUCGCAGGACUUCAUAUCAGAAAACAAACCCACAGAGCUGAGGAAUCCCUGGAUCCAGCUUCCGAGAGGGAGCAUGAAGGGCAGCAGGGAGAGCUGGUCAUGAAGCCGGGAAGCGAGGAGCAGGAGCUGGCAGGCAGCAGCGUGCCACAACCAGCCCAGCCUCCCGCAGGGGAAGGCAGAGCCCUCGCAGCCACCUCUCCAGGGCUUUCCCCUGGAAUCCCCUCCAACUGGCUGCAGAGCCGGGGAUCCAGCCCUAAGGACAAGAACAACCAGCCUUACUGCACAACCGCUGGGGGCUCGACCCUGGGCUCCACGUUCCACAUCUACUACAGUCCACUCUUUGCCUUCCCAGCAAGUCCUGAGGGCACCAUCCGCACCUCCCCCGUGUGGAAGGCUCUUCAUUCUGUCAUCUCUGAGGAGCUCCUAGCACGGCCCUUGGCAAGCUGCUGGCACACCACAUAUGUCAUUUCCCAGACAUGUGGGAAAGGCCACAUGCUGCACGUGACACCCGGGGAGGCUGGGAAAACUCACCCAGCAGCCAGGAGCUGGGGCUUCUCCUCUGUAACAAGGCCUCUCAGAGAAGAAGCCUGGCGUGACUUAUUCCCAACAGCUUAAAUGACUGUUCAAAUGCCAACAGCAGUCAGCUCCCAUGGUCUGUGCUGGCUAGCUCUUAGAUGAGAAGCAGGUCCUAGUGUGUACACUCAUUGUGUGUGUGUGUGUGUGUGUGUGUGUGCAUGCAUGUGUGCCUGGGGUGCCAGUCAUGUGGCCGUGCUCCCAACAGGAGGAAGACCCAAACACUACUGUCUGGUACCUCGUGUUUCCGAUGAUGCCGAGAGGCUCCCUUGCGGAGCCGUCCCCUGGCACACCGGUCUCUAGCGGGAGGAUUCCCAUUGAUCGUGCAUAUCUGAAGGGCUCUGAGCCUUGAGCAUCACGCCUGAUACACAGUAUGCACUUUAUGAUGCUUAGCAAUUGUUCGGUGGCAACUGGGACCUGCUGCAUCCGGGUCCUUCCAAAGAGGAGCAAAAGGACUCAGAAGGAAUUGAGCACCUAGCUUAUGUUAAGCAUUUGGCAUAUAUCUUCACAAAACCCCAGGACAUGGCAUUCUGAUUAUCCCCAUUUUCAAGAUGGUGAAACUGAGGCUCAGGGACAUGUGGAAACUGGCCCGAGAUCACAGAACAAGGAAAUGUCAGAACACGAUUUCAAACCCAGAUCCAGCUCAGGGAAGAUCACGUGCACAUUUACUCCCCUGGCUCCUCAUUUCCACCAGGAGGAAGUGUCAUGAUGAAUCUAGUCGGCCUCUUCACCCUGUCCCCCUUGCUUCUCGGAUGGUGGUGGCAGAUGGCAGUGGCCACAGCAUCCAUUCACCUGGUGGCCUGAGCCUGUGACCCUCUGUGUGGCUGACCAGGUUUGCAUAAUCAGGGUCCACUUGGAGACCCAAAACUUCACACACAAGUCCCCGGGACUGGGGACCUGCAGGCAAGAGCAGGUCACCAGCACUUUGGUUUCCUGCCCUGACUGAGGCCUAACCCAGCUUUGCAGAGACCUAAACUAAGCACACCAUUGGGCUUUCCCUGUUGGUGAACAAGUCUGUUGGUUGUGUUUUUUCAUAGAGCCUGUGUUCCCCAUAACUCGUUGCAUAAAUGGGAACAGGCCAGAGGAUGGUUUUCCUCUGUGCCAGGAGCCUUAGCUGGAAACACUCAAGUGGCCAAGGGCCAGAGUCAUAGGAGGCUUCCUCACACACAUCUCGGUAUCCAGGCUGAAACAUUCUCAGGCUGGACUCGGCUGGACUGUUCACCGAGCGCCCACAUGUGGCCUCUUCCUAUGGCAUGGGCUUCUCCCAGAGUGGCGGCUGGGUUCCAAGAAGAAACUUCUUGCUUCCCGAAAGCAAGAGUGAGCUUUCCAACAGAAUCAGCAAAAGCUGCAUGGCCGUUUCUGAAACUAGACCUGAAAGUCACAAAGAAUCACCCCCGCUGCUUCCAUUAACGUCAAGCAACUCAUAAGGCCAGCCCAGACCUAAGGGAGGGGAAUUAGACCCAGCUCUUGUCGGGGAGUAUCCAGUUCCCAUGGCCUGAGAGUAUGUGGGUGGGAGACAGGCCACUGCCGUCCUUGGAGAAAUACUGCCUGCCGUACCCCGGAAGGGAAGAAGUGUGAUUAGUCAGAUAUGGGGACCAGAGCCCUCUCCUCUUAUAACAGUGCUCCUGAUAGCUCUACUACCCUGCUCUGACCAGGGAGCACCUCAAACAGAGGGGCAGUCGCUCAGCUGGACCAGGAGGCACUGGACCCCCUGUAGUGUCACCAGUCCCGAGAAAUGGGCGUUGGAAGGCUGGAGCUUCAUUCUGCCCAGACAAGGAAAACACACGCUGGCAGAGAAGGAAGUGAGCACAGCUCUUGCAGCACAGUUCUACCAGCAAGUCUGGGCAGGUACCCUCCUUCAUCCUUCAAAGUGGCAUGUGCUCCUGACUUCAGUGUGCACCACGGCAGCCUCCAGGGCCAGCACGUCAGAGGAAAGAUGCUCUAGUCCUCAGCAGAGCCAUGGCCUUCCAGCAGCCAAGGGCCCUGGCCAGCCCCUAAAAAACACCAAAAACCAAGGCGCAUCCCAGGGUAGGGUGGACACAUCCCUUGCCUGGGGGUCCUCUGUCUCUUCUCCGAUUUCUCCAGGGAAAGCAAAUACCCGACUUGGGAACUGGAGCCUUGUCCCAUCCAGACCACCUUUGACCCACACGAACGCAGCCAUUGUCUCUCCCUGUCACAUUUAUCUCAGAUUGAAGACCUAUCUUCAAGACUUCUGGAAAGACCCUAUCCUUUUGUGUAAGAAGCCUCAUGAGAAAGAACUUACUGGAAGGAACGAAGAGAGGAGAUGAGCGAGCUUGCUUCAGUGGCUGCCGCACAUCCCCGUCAGAAGAGACGAGGUGGCAUCAGGAGCCCCUCAGAGCUUUAGAGCAUGGACGUUCUGCUCUGGACUUGUGGCUGAAUGAGAGGAGCCAUUUCUCCUUCUUCUCCAGGGCUGUGCUUGGGGCCAGGGUCUCAUAACAGCAAUCAGGAGAGUCCCGGGCUCUCGGCAGGGAGCCAGAACCCCCAGCAUCCAAAACAGGGAAGAAGGAGCUGAGAACAUGGGGUGUGGGAAUGGCGGUGGGGAGCUCACCUCCACAGAGAGGAGCAGACACUGCAGGUCAGCUGCGUGAACUGUGCUCACCACCACAUGGGGGACAUGCCCUGGGGACUGCCCAAACUACUGACGGCAGGAGAGGCAAGAGAGCCACGACCUCGCAAAAAGGAGACGACCCGAAGAAACGCUAUGGUGAUUGUGACCCUAUAUUUAAAAGCAGGCUGGUCAGGUCUGGGGGGAACACAGCUCACACUGAGUUUUAAUGGCACUUUAAAUCAAUAACAGAAAACAUGUUCCAAAUCAGCACACAACUCAUUACCUAAUGAAAACACAAACACGGCCAUCACAGGAUCAGAGGACGCAGAAAUCACUGUGGGACGGAGAAAACUGAGUGGGUUUUAUGGAUGCAAGGGCUGAGCUCAGUGACCAUAAAAUGGAAAAGCUCAAGAGAUAUGGGGUGUGAGCCUGGAGUGGUGAGCACUAGACUGGAGCACACAAGGUCUGAACUUGAACCCCCAUGGGGUCCUACUCGGAGCCUCAGCUCACUCCUGGGAGGAAUGCACAGGCGGCAUUGAGUCCCGUUAAGGCCAUGCAUCUCUAGCCCUGCAUGAUUUUCCAGAAGCAGCAAGGACAUGGCCAGGAGCCCCUUGCCUUGUUGACCCUCCAGCCAUGGCCCCUGAUUGUGGAGAGAAUGUCUCUGCCCAGCUUCAGGGGUGGACGGGGGUUGUUCUACAGAUGCCUGAGCUUGCCUCCUUGAGUACCAAAGGAUGGUGGCUUCAACCUUUCCCGGAAGAAGCAUCUCAUUUCAAAUUCCUCCCAAUUCCAGUCAAAAUUCUUGUGAUGGUCAUUAAAAUUACAUGAGUGACUUCAUGCAAUUUUAAUGUUCUCUACCAUCAAAUUCUGCAGGAGAAAUCCCCCCAGGCGUCGCCAUUGAUCAUUCUAAGUAGAUACAACAAAGCGUUUCAAGACAGGAGUUUUAACCGGAAAGAAAAUGAAAUGAAUAUUUCAUUUAUGAUAGGUCAUCUGGUCAGGAUUUUUUUCUAAUUUUUUCGUUAAAAAAUCAAACAACUAAAUCCAGCCUCUUGUAAAGGCAUUGACCAAGCAGAUACCAACCUCUUAGAUUUAUAAAACAUUCUUUCAACCAAGUUUCCUUGUAAGAACUGAUCAGGAUUUACCAGUCAAUAACCUCUAAAACAGUUUUGCCAACCAAGUGAGUUAAUUUGGUCAUGCACUUCUCGAAGAUAGAUGCCCUCAUAAUGUUCUUCUUGUCCCCAGAUCUCUCACUGCUACUAGCCUAAUAUCCCCACAACUCAGCAGCCAUGAAUCAAAUGCUUGCACCUGGAAAUUGAGAACCUCUCAGAAGAUUCCAGGAGAACCCAGAAGCAUUACAAAGCCUAGAUCCAGGUGAAUUCAAGCCAAAAUGUUAACGAGUAAAGAGGACUGGAUGUGCUCUUGCUGUCCAGUGAAGAAUCUGGCCGGCCUUUGUCCCUGGUUCCUAGGAGGUAGCUUCUAAUUUCUGAAUGAUUGGAGUGUCUUUGCUACUUACGGUGCAAUUAGUGCCGAGUUUAUGCUAAGGAGAUGACUCAGGGUGGGGGCCGGCCAGGCCAGAAAGACCAAGAGUGUUGGGACUCGAGCUACAUGACAUCAGCCCAACCUCCAGGGGAGGGAGAGAGAUGGAGAUCAAGCCCAGUCAUGUAGCCAGUGAUUCCAUCAACCAUGCUUACGGAACGAAACACCAAUAGAAGUUCUGGAUGCUGAGGCUCAAGUGAGCCCUGAUUGGUGAUGCUCAUCAGUGUGCCAGGAGGGUGCCACAUCCCAAGGUCACCGAAGCGUCACAUCUUGGACCCUCCCAGACUUUCCCUUCUGUGUCUCUUCAUUGGGCUGAUCUUGAUUUGUGUCCUUUAUAAUAAAACUGUGAUCAUGAGAAUAGUGCUUUCCUGAGUUUUGUGAGCCUUUCUAGUGAAUUAUUAAAGCUGAGGGGAUAGUGAGAAUUCCCAUAUUUGUAGCCAAUCGGUCAGAAGUGAAGAUGGCCUGGGACCCCAGAGCUUGUGGCUGGUGUCUGAAGGGAGAGCAGUCUUGUGAAGGACGGUGCCCUUAACCUGCCGAGUAUGC